CCUACGGGAGGCUGCAGUGAGGAAUAUUGGUCAAUGGACGAGAGUCUGAACCAGCCAAGUAGCGUGAAGGAUGACUGCCCUAUGGGUUGUAAACUUCUUUUAUAAAGGAAUAAAACGAGGCACGUGUGCCUUUUUGCAUGUACUUUAUGAAUAAGGAUCGGCUAACUCCGUGCCAGCAGCCGCGGUAAUAAGGAGGAUCCGAGCGUUAUCCGGAUUUAUUGGGUUUAAAGGGAGCGUAGAUGGGUUGUUAAGUCAGUUGUGAAAGUUUGCGGCUCAACCGUAAAAUUGCAAUUGAUACUGGCUGUCUUGAGUACAGUAGAGGUAGGCGGAAUUCGUGGUGUAGCGGUGAAAUGCUUAGAUAUCACGAAGAACCCCGAUUGCGAAGGCAGCUUACUAAACUGUGACUGACAUUGAUGCUCGAAAGUGUGGGUAUCAAACAGGAUUAGAUACCCUAGUAGUC
rnacentral:rRNA from 1 species